AGCUAACUGUCAAUCUGGCUGCGCGAGUGCAGCGCGAGGCGAGAUGUGAAGCGGGAAGGGGCGUGGCCACAGACGGACUCGAGAACAUCCUGCACAGGCUCUCUGUCUCCGACGUGCUUUCCUUUGGAUCCACUUUCUGUUCACUGCGUAAGCUGAGCCUAAGCAGCUGCUAUGGAAGAAGCUGUACUUUCAACAUUCAGAUCGCCCUACUCCUAGCAACAACCAUGAAACCAACUGGAUGAGGCUGACCAUCCUGAAGAGUGAGUCAGACAGACGAAACGGUGGUUUCCCGUCCAGGUCUGUGUGAUAAAUUGCCCCAACUCUCCUGUGCACAGAGAGCCAGAGACUGACCAUACAGCGUCUAAGCAGGACUGGUUGUUUGGAUAAUGGGAUCUCCUCUUGGAACCGUGGUGGGAGUCGCCAGCCAACAGUGAACUGUUCAUUCAACUCUCCCAUUGCACUGGGCUUCCUUAGGGUGGUGCCCAUACUUCACCAUACCCUUUUCUGGGACCAUUCUCAUUCUGUUCACACCUCGGUGGAAUAUAGCAUGGACGAGACCUUUCUGCUAUUCAGGACUGUGCCACCAUGCCAAAGAUACACUGGAAAAGUAUGCGCUGUCUGUGAAUAAGACCCACCUCAAUACAGCGAGUGCCUACUCAGUACAGCUGACUGUCAAGAGGAUUAGCCAUUUGCUAC